AUUGAACGCUGGCGGAAUGCUUUACACAUGCAAGUCGAACGGUAGAGGGGGCAACCCCUUGAGAGUGGCGAACGGGUGAGUAAUAUAUCGGAACGUGCCCAGUCGUGGGGAUAACGUAGCGAAAGUUACGCUAAUACCGCAUACGAUCUACGGAUGAAAGCGGGGGACUCGCAAGAGCCUCGCGCGACUGGAGCGGCCGAUAUCAGAUUAGGUAGUUGGUGGGGUAAAGGCUCACCAAGCCAACGAUCUGUAGCUGGUCUGAGAGGACGACCAGCCACACUGGAACUGAGACACGGUCCAGACUCCUACGGGAGGCAGCAGUGGGGAAUUUUGGACAAUGGACGCAAGUCUGAUCCAGCCAUUCCGCGUGCAGGAUGAAGGCCCUCGGGUUGUAAACUGCUUUUGUACGGAACGAAAAGGUUUCUAUUAACACUAGGAGCUCAUGACGGUACCGUAAGAAUAAGCACCGGCUAACUAACGUGCCAGCAGCCGCGG
rnacentral:rRNA from 1 species